rnacentral:lncRNA from 1 species
GGAUAUCAUAAAAAUACUGUCAUAUAUGAAUUUAUGACAUCCUGUCCAAAUUAACGCAUCCUGGAUUAAAAUUACGAUAUCCGACAGUAUCCUUAGGUUCAAAUUAUUGCAUCCUGUAUAAAAUUAUGACAUCGUAUGUCAAAAUUAUGACAUCCGGACACAGAGAUGUCCCUGAUCGCAGAGCUAUGAUAUACCGGAUC